rnacentral:tRNA from 7 species
GGAGGCGUCGCAUAGUUGGUCUAGUGCGCCGGUUUCGAAAACCGGUAUACCGCAAGGUAUCGUGAGUUCGAAUCUCACCGCCUCCGCCA